ACAGUGGACGCGAGCAUCUGUGGCCAAGUUUUUAAGGGCGCACGGUGGAUGCCUUGGCACCAGGAACCGAUGAAGGACGUGGGAGGCCACGAUAGUCCCCGGGGAGUCGUCAACCA
rnacentral:rRNA from 1 species